rnacentral:rRNA from 1 species
UACGGAGGGGCUAGCGUUGUUCGGAAUUACUGGGCGUAAAGCGCGCGUAGGCGGACCUGCAAGUCGGGGGUGAAAGCCCGAGGCUCAACCUCGGAACUGCCUUCGAUACUGCGGGUCUCGAGUCCGGGAGAGGUGAGUGGAAUUCCUAGUGUAGAGGUGAAAUUCGUAGAUAUUCGCAAGAACACCAGUGGCGAAGGCGGCUCACUGGCCCGGAACUGACGCUGAGGAGCGAAAGUGUGGGGAGCGAACAGGA